rnacentral:rRNA from 1 species
UACGUAGGGGGCUAGCGUUGUCCGGAAUCAUUGGGCGUAAAGCGCGUGUAGGCGGUUCGGUAAGUCCGCUGUGAAAGUCGGGGGCUCAACCCUCGGAUGCCGGUGGAUACUGCCGGGCUAGAGUCCGGAAGAGGCGAGUGGAACUCCUGGUGUAGCGGUGGAAUGCGCAGAUAUCAGGAAGAACACCAACGGCGAAGGCAGCUCGCUGGGACGGAACUGACGCUGAGGCGCGAAAGCGUGGGGAGCAAACAGG